ACGCUGGCGGCGUGCUUAACACAUGCAAGUCGAACGAUGAAGCCUAGCUUGCUAGGUGGAUUAGUGGCGAACGGGUGAGUAAUACGUGAGUAACCUACCUUUAACUCUGGGAUAAGCCUGGGAAACUGGGUCUAAUACCGGAUACGACCAAUCUCCGCAUGGGGUGUUGGUGGAAAGCGUUAUGUAGUGGUUAUAGAUGGGCUCACGGCCUAUCAGCUUGUUGGUGAGGUAACGGCUCACCAAGGCGACGACGGGUAGCCGGCCUGAGAGGGUGACCGGCCACACUGGGACUGAGACACGGCCCACACUCCUACGGGAGGCAGCAGUGGGGAAUAUUGCACAAUGGGCGCAAGCCUGAUGCAGCGACGCCGCGUGAGGGAUGACGGCCUUCGGGUUGUAAACCUCUGUUAGCAGGGAAGAAGAGAGAUUGACGGUACCUGCAGAGAAAGCGCCGGCUAACUACGUGCCAGCAGCCGCGGUAAUACGUAGGGCGCGAGCGUUGUCCGGAAUUAUUGGGCGUAAAGAGCUUGUAGGCGGUUUGUCGCGUCUGCUGUGAAAGGCCGGAGCUUAACUCCGUGUAUUGCAGUGGGUACGGGCAGACUAGAGUGCAGUAGGGGAGACUGGAAUUCCUGGUGUAGCGGUGGAAUGCGCAGAUAUCAGGAGGAACACCGAAGGCGAAGGCAGGUCUCUGGGCUGUAACUGACGCUGAGAAGCGAAAGCAUGGGGAGCGAACAGGAUUAGAUACCCUGGUAGUCCAUGCCGUAAACGUUGGGCACUAGGUGUGGGGGACAUUCCACGUUUUCCGCGCCGUAGCUAACGCAUUAAGUGCCCCGCCUGGGGAGUACGGCCGCAAGGCUAAAACUCAAAGAAAUUGACGGGGGCCCGCACAAGCGGCGGAGCAUGCG
rnacentral:rRNA from 1 species